rnacentral:rRNA from 1 species
AGAGUUUGAUCCUGGCUCAGGACGAACGCUGACGGUGUGCUUUAGGCAUGCAAGUCGAACGAGAAAACCCUUCGGGGUGAGUAAAGUGGCGAACGGGUGAGUAACACGUGGGCAACCUGCCCCUCGCAGGGGGACAACCGGAGGAAACUCCGGCUAAUACCCCGUACGCUUGUUGGAUCGCAUGGUCCGGCAAGGAAAGGUAGCUUCGGCCAUCCGGCGAGGGAUGGGCCCGCGUUGCAUUAGCUAGUUGGUGGGGUAACGGCCUACCAAGGCGACGAUGCGUAGCUGGUCUGAGAGGAUGAUCAGCCACACUGGGACUGAGACACGGCCCAGACUCCUACGGGAGGCAGCAGCCAGGAAUCUUGGGCAAUGGGCGAAAGCCUGACCCAGCAACACCGUGUGGGCGACGAAGGCCUUAGGGUCGUAAAGCCCUGUUGAUAGGGACGAAGGGCGAAGGGUUAAUAGCCCCUAGCUUGACGGUACCUUUCGAGGAAGCCCCGGCUAACUACGUGCCAGCAGCCGCGGUAAUACGUAGGGGGCGAGCGUUGUCCGGAAUUAUUGGGCGUAAAGAGCGUGUAGGCGGUUCGGUAAGUCUGCUGUGAAAUCCUGGGGCUCAACCCUGGGCGUGCAGCGGAUACUGCCGGGCUAGAGGGUGGUAGAGGCGAGUGGAAUUCCGAGUGUAGCGGUGAAAUGCGCAGAUAUUCGGAGGAACACCAGUAGCGAAGGCGGCUCGCUGGGCCACACCUGACGCUGAGCGCGAAAGCGUGGGGAGCGAACAGGAUUAGAUACCCUAGUAGUCC